AACGAACGCUGGCGGCAUGCCUAACACAUGCAAGUCGAACGAACCCUUCGGGGUUAGAGGCGCACGGGUGCGUAACGCGUGGGGAUCUGCCCUUUGCUUCGGAAUAACAGUUAGAAAUGACUGCUAAUACCGGAUGAUGUCGCAAGACCAAAGAUUUAUCGGCAAAGGAUGAACCCGCGUAGGAUUAGCUAGUUGGUGAGGUAAAGGCUCACCAAGGCGACGAUCCUUAGCUGGUCUGAGAGGAUGAUCAGCCACACUGGGACUGAGACACGGCCCAGACUCCUACGGGAGGCAGCAGUGGGGAAUAUUGGACAAUGGGCGAAAGCCUGAUCCAGCAAUGCCGCGUGAGUGAUGAAGGCCCUAGGGUUGUAAAGCUCUUUUACCAGGGAUGAUAAUGACAGUACCUCAUGAAUAAGGACCUGCUAAACUCGUGCCAGCAGCCGCCGUAA
rnacentral:rRNA from 1 species